GCGACUUCCUCCUCGGCGCGGUGAGCUAAGGCCAGCUCCCUACACACUCGCGACCCUUCGGGGUCCGAGGACGAGCUGGCCUGGGUGACCUGCCCACCGUAGCAGCCGGCCCGGGUUGGGGACUCUCGAGCUGCAACCGGGACUCGAACCCGGUUUUCCCCUCAUCCCCCUAUCUCCCGGAACGCCGCCCCGCCGCCCCGCCGGCCUGGAGUUGCUCAAAGUUCUCCACGCGGCGCUGAUGGCCCGGCGGUUGGAGCGAGUGCUGCUCUCCAAAAUUGUUCCCAAGAAUAAAACACGCUGAAAACUAUUUCUGAUCCCCUACAACAUGCACACCUUGUUAAAGUUGUUAAGUAAUAGCCUUAUCCUCAAAAGUGGAGAAUAAGAUUGUAGUUUCCUGGGUUUGGUUUUGCCUGUUCACAACUUUGGCAUUUAGACAGCUGCUUCAGUGCGUGUUCCACAAUUCAAAACUGCUGGGAGAACUUGGCUGUCAGAGAAUAUGUAUUGUUGCCAUUAUAAUUAUCUCAUCUGAUUUUUGAGACUUUCACUAAAAGGGAUAUACGAAGUGUAUACCCACGCCCCUUCCACCACCAUGAAAGGGCAAUUUCCUCUGCAUGGUUCAGGAAUUAUGCGCUGGCAGAUGCCCCCCACCCCAACUUUGUUUUGAAAGUGGAACUGCUAUACUAUGUGUCUGGCGGUUUUACCGAUGCACCAUAAAUGUUAAUUCGCCUUCCUGUUAGGAAGCAGUUUAAUAAAUCUUCCUGUUAAUAAACAGUUUAAUAAGGCUUUUUAUUAUUAAUUAGAUCGCUGUUGGGGGGGCUCACAACUUUUUUUCCCUCUGAUAAUCAGUAUUUAUGGGUUUGACUACCGUAAUGAAUGUUUAUGUUCAGUAUGGGGAUUUAUGUGAAACUCGUUUAGGUAAAGGUGAAUACACUAAUAUUUUUGUGACAAGGAGAGAGAAAUAGAAAUUGUAGGGGAAAAAAAAGACAAACAUAUAUACUCACAGAGAGUUUGUAUAUCCAGAUAUUGGAAGCAGUUUUGUGUCGAUGUGUACAAUAUAGUAAAACAAAGUAGAAGAGAAUACUGAAGUUGAGGAGAAAGCCAGGUUGGGAAGGAAUAGAAAGGUCCUGUGCUACACGUGAGUCUUAGUUUGGGUUUUGAACUUCCUUGGGAGUCAGGAAAGGAAUACAGUAAGCUACAGCAUGUUUAUAAUUCCACAAUUAAAAAAAAAGUCAGUUCUGCAUACACAAGGCAUUUUCUACUAAACUGAGAGAAACAGUUUUUUAUGGGACCUAAGAAAAGGAAGAGAGAUGGUGUAGCAACUGACAUUUUUAAAAGAUCCCAUCAGAAAAUUGUAAAUUUUGCACACACAUGAACCCAAAACAUGUUUUUAACAUAGGGCAUGUUGAAAUUAGGAUAUGUUCUGUGAAUUCAUGGUUGAGAUUAUCUGAACUCAUAUUUCCCAAGCCACACUCAGUGGCGGAGGCCUUACUUGUCUGCUCCGUACAAGGUCCUCUUUGUCCCAGCUCCAGGACAAGGGGAGAUGGAAAAAGUUUCUAAGCUCAGAUGAACUCAAGGUAUCUGGAGUAGAUAGAUGCUUCUUACCCAGAACUUCUUGAAACUCUGGAGUAGAUAGAUGCUUCUUACCCAGAACUUCUUGAAACUCUGGAGUAGAUAGAUGCUUCUUUACCCAGAACUUCUUGAAACUCUGGAGUAGAUAGAUCCUUUUUACCCAGAACUUCUUGAAACUUUUUUACCAUAGUGCUGUAAAAUGGAUUGGUUGAAGAAUGCAUGUUGUGACCUAUUCCAAAUUUAAUAAAGCAGUUCUUCAUGGAUAUUUUCUUACAGCUUGAGAACCAAUAAGAACUGGAGAGCAAAAUGUUUGAAGUUAGUGAAUUUGGUAAGGACCAAAAUGAAGCUAAUCCAGAAGUCAGGGUUUUAAUACAGUGCAUAUCAAAGGAAAAGGCUCAUCUCAUACUCCCUAGAUCUUCAGCAAGUUGCUUCUUGGACUACAUGGCCUACAGGACUUUUCAUUUGUGCUUUAGUAUGUUUACUGUUUGAGAACUAGAAUUAGGUUUGGGCAAGUAGGAAUCCUCGAGGAAUUACUUUCAAUUAUUAGUGAAUAUAAAUGUGUGAUUUGCAUGCUAUCUUAUCACAAACAUUAUUUAUACUAUUAGUUUGCUGUAAAACCCUACAUUUUGUAGCAAAUAAAGAUCUCAGAAAUCAUGCCACAUAGUAGAAAGAGUGAAAAGGCUAGGUGUGGUGGUCCAAGCCUUUAAUCCUAGCAUUCUGGAGACAGAGGAUUCCAGAUUUCUAUGAGUUAGAGGCUGACCUGGCCUAAACAGCAAAUUCCAGGCCAUCCAAGACUACAUAGUGAGAUUUGAGACCCUGUCUCAAAACAACAAUUAAAAGGAGAGAAAGACAGAGAAGAUCUGGAACAAAACAAAACAAACAAACAAAAACCCAAAAAGCUUACUAAUGUUUGGGGACAAUUUCUAGCAAGUUUAUGAGUCCUUUGGAUCUAUAUCCUAGUUUGUAAGACUAGUGUGGCUAUAGCAAACGUUCAUUCAUGGGAUAAAUGCUGAGAAUUUACUGAGUACUGGUAGUAAAACAGCCUUAAGGCUUCAAACGAGGACAGGCAGCAAGAGUUUGGAUUUGCAAGAAUCACAUCUUAUGCAGAUAUUCUUGGAUCCUGGGUUUCAGAAGUCAGGCAGUGAGAGCUGAGAGGAUGAGGGAUUGGUUUGAAAAUUUAUCUGGAGCUGACAUAUGGAAGUGCAAAGGUAAUGGGGGGGGCACAGGCAUACAGAAUGUUACCUUCUGAAAAUAGCCAACGCUAUUUAUUCUCUUCACCUUGUUUGUGAAAAAGAUGUUUGCUGAGUAUCAAACAGAAUAGGAUAGGCUGCGGUCAUGGAAGAGUCGCACAUUGCUGUGGCUUAAGUCAGCAAAGGUUUAUUUCUGUCAUACUGUAUGUCUGAUGAGGGUCAGCAUGAGGGCUCUGCUUCAGGUGGUCACUUGACCCCCUGGCGGUUAGAGACUGCAUCUCAGUGCAUUCUUCCACAGUUAGAAGGGAAGAAAGGAUGUGCUGAUAGUAGCACUACAUAGCUCCCCAAGGCUUCCAUUGGAUGUGGCCAUACAACUCAUCUAGCUAUAUCUAACUGCAGAGAAGGAGAGAAAAGCUGCUUUACCAUGUGUGAGGAGGAAGAGAACUGGCACAGUCUGUAAACAGUCUCAGCGAUCACUAUGCUAAGCAGGCUUCAUACCCCUAAGAGUUAACACGAGAUCUGAAUGAGCUGUACCAUCCUGGUUUUCAGUCUUCUAUUUAAAAAAUGAAAAACAGGGGGUUGGGGAUUUAGCUCAGUGGUAGAGCGCUUGCCUAGCAACCGGAAGGCCCUGGGUUCGGUCCCCAGCUCCGAAAAAAAGAAAAAAAAAUGAAAAACAGCAUCUCUCUGUCUCUCUCUGUCUCUGUCUCUCUCUGCCUCUCUGUCUCUGUCUCUCUGUGUCUCUAUCUCUGUCUCUCUGUCUGUCUGUCUCUCUCUCUGUGUGUGUAUGUGUGUGUGUGUAUUUAGACAGAAUUAUGGUAAUGAGAAUUAUAAAGAACAUCUUAAUUCAAAAUGAAACGCUAUUGAAAAACCCCACAAUUAGAUGUACUAUUUUGAUCAAGUGAGUUUCAUUCUGAAUUGUAUGUCCAUUCAAUAAACAUUUGUUAAAUGUGUAUAAGGCACUGUUAGGUCUUCUGAAAAUAAAAUAGUAAAUGGGAGUUUAUAAUGCCAAGAGAAAAUAGCUGUAAUUUGAGUUCUCUCCUUUUUAAGGCAGCAUUACCAAACUUUAGAAUAUAACACACACACACACACACACACACACACACACACACACACACACACACUAUAUUUUUUAUUCCUCCCUGUUUUUCUCUUAAGGUUUAUUUCCUAACAAGUUAAAUAAAAUUACUUAAACUAUUUUAAGCAACCAGAGCAUUUUGUUAGCAAUAAUGUAGCUUUGUGUCAAUGUCGGAGACCAGAAACCCAGUUGGGCCUUGAGGCUCUUGGCAUCACUAAUAGUAAAGAGGAAGUAGGGCUGUUUUCUCUGUGUGAUUUCUUUCCAGUCUCUCUCUGCAUGUACAUUUCAUUGCUCUGUUCCUCUAUUGACUAGCCUUUUUCUGUUUUGCUCUUACAAGGGUGCUUUAAUUUAAGAGUUCAUGGAUUUCUCCAAGCCUAGCAUUUUGUAAUGCAACAUGGAGGUUAGCCUCCUCAGUGGUCCUUGACCUGUGGUCACCACCCUUUGGGGGUGGAAUGAACCUUUCUCAGGAGUCACCUAAGACCAUCUGCAUAUUAUAUAUUUACAUUAUGGUUAAUUACAGUAGCAAAAUCACAGUUUUGAAGUAGCAGGGAAAAGAACGUUAGGAUUGGGGUCGCUGAAACAUGAGGAACUAUAUUAAAGGGUCACAGCAUUAAGAAGGUUGAGAACCACCUAAGGCUUAAGUGAUCUCACUGUCAGAAUUUGGAAAGAAGGAGUUGAUCUAAAAAUACAACAAAGUAACCGGCAACUUUGUAGAAAAGAAGGAGGCAGUGCUAGUAUCGUGCUGAGGAGCCUAAGGUUUAAGAAAUCUGAGAUGCCACUUAAAAAAAAAAUCUGUAUGAUUAACAUCAGCUUGCACGUUGUACUGGGACAGAUUGGUUAUGAUAACCAGGAUGAGAAGGGAAUCUUGGAGUUGACUUGUAGCUAACGUAUGCACUCUCCAAACACGGGCAAACACCUUUUUAAAAAAGUCCUUUCAUUCAUUUCUUCCUCCUCUCCCAAGGUGGCUGAAUUGUCCGCCUCUUACUUUCAUGUCCUUCAAUCCUUUUGCGAGACUCCCUGGCUUCUUCACCUCAAAGCUAUUACUGCAGAAAGAAAGAAGCCCUUUCCAUGCUAGUUCAGCAAUUUCCUAACAAGCAAACCACUCUCCAAGACAUUUUAGAUUUUAACAUCCUGUUGUUAUAGUUCUUCACUGGCUUGGUUUUUAUUCCCAGCAACCUUGCAUUCUCUAUUAGCACUGGGAGCUCAUCUUCUCUAGUCCCAGUCAAAAGGUGUCCAUAGCUGCACUUCAGUAGGCAGCUAAGGGGUGGCUGUAUGUGAUAUCUGGAAGAGGGGAUUACCAGAAAAACAUGAGGGAGGUGAAUAAAAGCUGUGUUUGUUGUAAGAACUGGGUGUCUUGUAAUCCCAGCACUUAGAUUGCAGAGGCUCAAGGAUCAAAGGAAGUUUGACUGAGCCAGCCUGAGCUAAGUAGCAAGUUCCAGAUCAUCCAGGGUUCACAGUGAGACCUCAUCUAUACAAACAGGUUAACUAGCUAUGUAUGACAGGUUAAGACUCCUCCGGGGUUAAAGGAAUGACUUGGGUUCAGAUUGCAGAAGAUCUAGAGUCUCUGAAAAUGCAGGAUGGGUGUGGGUUCAUCCAAACAGUAAGAUUCGGGAAACUGCCAGAGGCCUCUUUGUUCAGAAGACAAAGUCAUACAGUGACCACAGCUUAUCAACAGGGCUGUGUCGGCAUUCCUGAUUGGCGGAAGUAAUCUUCACAGAAGUCCACACAAGCAGCUGUGUAAUAUCUGAGUAAUAUCUUAAAAGAUGCUCAACUAGGUGGGCACAGAAGCCACUAGCUUUAAAAAUCCAUGUCCCUCAACACAUGAAGUCUCUUACAGCUCCAUAAACGUAGCUUCCAGGGCCUUGGAAAGGAUAUGAAUUAUCAUAAGAGCCCCCAAAGCUAGUGUUUCUUUAUAUGAGUCCAAAUACAAACUGGUAACCUGGGAAGUCAUCUUUACUAUGAGUAAUGUUGCCUUGAAUGUAGAUGACAUACCUAAUUCUACAGCUUGCCAUCGCUGGGCCGCAGAGCUAAGAGAGUUAACUUUCAAUGCAGGAUAGUUUAAAGCAUUUUUGACAGUGUUGUGCACAAAUACACUGUAUUGCGAUUACAUUCACUAGCUAGUCAAGUUACUUUUUGUCACCCCCAUACCCCAUUGAAGGUUGAGAAGACCACCCUGAAGGGACUUUCAGUUUUUUGAGACAGUGUUUCUCUGUGUAGCCCUGGCUGUCCUAGAACUCAAACUCUGUAGACCAGGCUGCCCUUAAACCCAGGGAUCCACCUGUCUCUGUCUCCCAAGUACUGGGAUUAAAGGCAUGUGCCACCAGCACCCGGCUGAAGGGCCUCUUAAGAACAUUGAGUUUAGACUAAGAUAAAUUUGUCACUGAGAUUCUAGUUACUGCUGAUGUCCACUGAUCUGCCAUUUCAUUCACUACCUUGUUCCAUUGUGCUUUUUGUAAGAACUAUAAAACAGCUUUUUGGUGGUUUUUAAAACUAUUCCUCUAAGUUGCAUGUUAGGGCAAGCCAGGGAGUUGUUGAAUGGCAUGGGCUUAGUUAACGUUUAUAGUACUGAACACAUUUCUGACUAUGAACAGUUGAAAACUAGUCUCUCUCUCUGUCUCUCUCUCUGUCUCUCUCUCUCUCUCUCUGUCUCUCUCUCUCUCUCCUCCUCCUCCUCCUCCUCCUUCUUCCUCUCUCUCUCUCUCUCUCUCUCUCUCUCUCUCUCUCUCUCUCUCUCUCUCUCUCUCCUUUAAAAAAUAUUGGACUAAGACCAGGCGAGGCAGCACAGGCCUUUAGUCCCAGCACUCAGGGGGCAGAAGCAGGCGGAUCUUGGUGAAUUCAAGACCAGCCUGGUCUACGAAGGACACUCCAGGACAGCCGGGGCUACACAGAGAAACCCUGUCUUUAAAAAAAGUAGAGAACUGAGGCUCAAACCCAGGGCUUCAUGCUUUCUAGGUGAAGGCUCUGUCACUUUAUCCCUAUUCUCACAUUCAUGUUCUAAUUCACUCACACUCCCCCACUCUCACCACAGUCGUCUCCCCUCUGUUGCUUAAAUUGUUCUGUAUUCCCAUGUCCUAACCAACUGUAUGCUGUUCUAACAUAAGCACUUGGAAAACCUGAUCGAUCCUGCAUCAGAUCCAGUUGGUGUGUGAUUUCUCCGAUAUGUGUUCAGAGACCACAGAUAACUUUGGUUGUGUUUGUACCUAAAGAGUACUGAUUGAUUACCUCUGUUUACCUCCAUUACUAUAAAGCUUCAAGGGAAGGGAAACACUUCUGGGUUUGGUUCAGGUCUGUAAAAGACAAAAUCACAGUUACUCACGCUGUUGUUUUCUAUGAUGUAUAAUACAUUUGGGUGUCACAGCACCUUUGCCAAAUCAUAGAUCAGGCAAAAAAGUUAGUUAGCCAUGGUUUCCCUCCAUCUAUGUGGCUCUCAGUUUCCAUCCUUGUGCCCUGCAAAUAUGAAUGUGCACAAACUAAGAGAAGUGUGUGGCAAGGAAACCCAUUCCAUUCACCCGCUGUCCGGACAAAGGACUCUUGAUUUCUUUUCCAAAUGCUGAAAAUUGAACCCAGGACCUCGUGUGUGCUAAGCAUGUGCUCUUAGCUACACCUCCAGCCCUAAAAGACUAUUUUUCAUUUGCUAGAUUGCUUACCUCAAUGUGUGGCUCUGACUGCCUGGAAUUCACUCUGUAGACCUCUCUGGCCUCAAAUUCACAGAGAUCUGCCUGCCUCUGCCUCUGCCUCUGCCUCUGCCUCUGCCCCCACCCCUGCCCCCUUCCCCCUCCCCCUCUCCCCUCCCCCUCCCUUUAGCCCCUGCUCCCUCCCCCCUGCAUGCUGGGAUUAAAGGAGUGUACCACCUUGUUUGUUCUCUAAAAUAGGAUCUCACUCUCUAGUCCUGGCUGAUCUGAAAUUCAUUAGGUAACAUAGCAUAGACCGACCUGGAACUCAUGUCAGUCCUCCUGCCUCAGCCUCUCAACUGCUGGGGUUACAGGCACAGGUCGCCAUAUAUGGCUUAAAAGGAUAUUUUCAAAACCAAAUAUUUUGUUAUAAUCAAGCAGUUAUUAUAGUAUCAGCUGUGAUUUAUUUUUCCUAGACGAGUUUGAAGGGAGUGGGGGACGUAACAGCCAGUGUUAUAAAGUGUGCCUUGUUUUCCCACCAGACUUUAGUACAGAUGAUAAUAGAGACUAGUCUGAUGUAUGGGUCGACACUUUGUUUCAUAGGCAAACGCCAAAGACUGGAAGGAAGCCAGUAACAGAAAUGGAGACACUUGUGUUUGGGCAUUAGCGCCAUUUCCUGUUUAAUUGCAACUGUGAGGAUUUUCACAGUGUUUUUGUCUAAGAAGUGAUACAUUCUUCAAGCAUUCAUUCAUUGUCUUGCUUGCCGAGAGUUUAAUCUGAUCACACUGGCAAACAAUUUUGGUUCAGUUUACUGUCCUCUGCUGCACACAAAGCUUGUAGAAGCCAGCUAUACUCUGAAUCUGCUCCGUCUUUGGUAUAGUAGUGUACUGAGAACCUCACUUCCUUUUAAAACCAUGGACAUAUUACGGGAAUGUGUUUUCAUUUUAAUCCCAGGUGUGGGAAAUGGGAGUGCUUCAGAUUGUCCACGGCAGCUGACUGUGGUUUGCCUCGUGCUCUAGCAGGGAUGUGGUUUUGUCAGCUGCAGAUAGUUUCUGUGAUUGUGCAAGGUUCGGAACUCUGGGGAUUUUUCAGGGGGUAUAUAAAUGCUAGGCCCCCGAGAGGCUGGCUGCUGUGGGUUGGUGGUGGUGGUUUGGUUGCUGUUGGUCGUGGUCAUGCACAAAGAAGAAACAACAAGAAGAAAUUAGAUGUGCCGAAGGAUGGAGACCAAACUUGCCCCAAGGAACUCAUAAUCAGCAGGGAGGGGUCUAAUGAUAGCACUGCCCCUCUCCCCUCUAGCUGUUUUUUCUCUCCUUUCUAGUGUUAGAGGAUUGAAAGGAGGUGAAGGGGGUGGAAAGGACUGGAAGAGAGAAGAACCCAGAAAGUAGCCAAAGACUGAUUACAUAGUAGGAUUUAAAACUACCUGACCAUAAAGUAGUUGUGAACAGCAAAUGCCACUAUUUUGAAAGCAAGUGGUAGCAUAAUCCACUUGAAAUACAAAAUAAUGGAACCCUUUACUCACCAGAACCCCAUCAGCCUCACUGAGCUUCUGCAUCUGUCAGGUGGGGAGGGGUUGCCUGUUCUUCAGGUGUUACGACAGGUAAAUGUCUUUCUCACACACAUACACUCUUAGGAAAUAGGCACUUAGGAGAUAGUCCUAGUCACAACUAAGAAACAAGGCGAUGAGUUGCCCAAAGUGACUGGUGUAGCUAUCGACCCAGGCUCCAUCUUCCAUUAAGUGAUAAUGUCAGAAAGUAACAACGGAACUCUCAGCCGGAUCCUUCUGAACUGACUCAUGCUGUAGCCUAAUGUCAUCUAGGAAAUGUAUGUAUGGAUCCUGAGGGCCCAUGGGUCACCCAGGUCUCGGUGGCUGUUCCUUUCCUUAGCCAUGCAGGUGGGUACACACUAAAGCUGAAAGUUGAUUGUGUUCGUUCACAAGCUUAGAGUAAUGGCAAAGUUAGAGUAAUGGUGAAAUCAGUAAACAUCUAAAUUAAUGGCUGUAAAGAAAAUUCCAUAAAAAUUAGGUUGAGUGCUUUGAAAUGUUUCAGUAUAAAUGAGCUAUUUGAAGUUUGCUGUCAAAUUUAAUGACGGCUGGAUAAUUAUAUAUGAUGAAGAGAAAAGUCAUCAAAGCUUCAAGUUGUCCCUGUCAAAGAUCAUGAACCAGCUGCCUGGUCAAAAGAAUAAGGGGGUCAGACAAGAAUACAAAUCGACUACAUUACUAAGAGCAUUGUUUCCAUUAAGGAAGCAUCAAGUUUAAUUUAUCAUCUGACAUGAGAUUUUUUUCAUAAUGACCAGGUUAUUCAUAUUCUUUGAGAAAUGCUUUUAAGUUCUCCGUUUUACAAACCAUAAGUAAAAACCAUACAUAAUAGAUCAUAUACGGCUUAUGCAAUAACACACUCAGUAGGAGAUGAAUUUUGAAUACAGGCACUAGUUCUAUACAAAGACUAGUGAAUGAGUGUGCAUUUACACAUUUGAAUUAAGACGAUGUCGUUAAUGGUGCAUAAAUGCAGCUUUAUGGUUUCUGACUUUGAAAGCAUUAGCUAUCAUCUUCAUUUGGUAAGUGAGCUUGCACUCUAAGGGCUUCAGGUUGACGAGGAAUAUACCAGUGACCUCUGCAUCUGUCUUAGCUGAUUCCUGAAUGCCUUGAGUGUCUUUAUCCUACUGUUUUGCAAUUUUUUUGAGAUGUAUUUAUUUUUAUGUGUAUGGGUGUUUUGCCUGCAUACAUAUAUGUGCACCACACUGGAAGUCUGAUGCCUAACGAGACCGAGGCCAAAAGAACGUUGGUCACUGGAACUGGAGUUACAGACAGAGUAGUGAGCCACUGUGAAUUGAACCCAGGUCCUCCAGAAGAGCACUGAACCACUGAGCCAUUUCUCCAUCCCUCGUUUUGCAACUUUUAAAUUAAAUAUCAGUUCCUGAAUUAUAGAUGCUUUGAAAGCUAUAAUCCUUUCUGUCACCAUCAUAGAGAAAAGUAUUAAAUAAGCAAUUUUGAUAAUUGAGCAACUACUAUGGGAUGGGAUAUGACAGCAUCAUAUGGCAUGAGGACAUAAUUUAGUUUUAAGGCUAAAGUUUAUUUCACAUCCAUUUCCACCCUAGCCUUAUAUGUGUUACAGCGUUUUUAUUUAGGUAAAUCCCUUUAUGAGAUGGUUCUUUCCAUGAAGCCACACUUCAGUUUUCAGUCUGUCUCAGGUCUCUGAACUGCUGGGGUUUUGAUGUGCUGUGCAGCUUACAAAGUCAAAUCCCUUAGCUUGUCACAGCUAAACUAAAAUUUCACAUUUACUUUUAAUUUGUAUUUACUGAUUAAAUGAGAACUAUCCCCCAAUUAUUUUUUAACAGGGUGAUUUAUUGCUGUAAUAUCAAUCUUAAUUUGGGGCUUCAAAGUGUAGCAUUCAGCCAGGUGUCUGGACACACGCCUGUAAUUCUAAUUCCAGCACCGGGGAGGAAGAUGGAGGAAGAUGGAGGGCAGCUGUGAGUUUAAGGCCUCCUUAGGCCACACAGAAUAUUGAAGGGCAGUUUAAAGUUUGUGGUGAGGCGUUUUCUCAAAAAACAAGGGCUGGGGAUGCAGACCAUUAGCAGAAGACUUGCGCAGUAUGUGCAAGGGCCCUAGGUUCAAUCCCAACACUGCAGCAAAACAGAAAGUACAUAUCAAGUUUUUAUUUCUUAAAUCAAUUUAUCUUUACAGAUCUACCAGGUCCUACACUAGAUCCCUGUUAUACGUAACCAUUAGGUGGUCGUAUUAGUUACUAGUCUUUACUGUGAUAGAAUACCUUGACAUAACUUUUUGGGCUUAUGGUUCCAGAGGGAUAGGGGUUUAUCAUGACAGGGAGGUGUGGUGCCAUGGGGCAGGCAGGAAUAGAAAGCUGAGAACUCACAGCCUGGACCACAAGGCAGGAAGCAGAGGAAGUGAACUGGAAGUGAUGCAGGCUCUAGUCCAGGGACGCACUUCCUCCAGCAAGACUGCUCCAUGUAGACAUCCCCAAGCAGUUCCUCCAUCUGGGGACCAAGUGCUCAAACAACCACCAUGUUCCACUCCCCAGUGUGCAGCUGUUGACCUAGCAAAUGCCUUCUUUCUUGGUCCCUGUCCAUAAGGACCACUAGAAGCAAUUUUGCUUUCAGCUGGCAAGGCCAGCAGUACACCUGUACCAUUGUACCUCAAGGAUAUAUUAAUUCUCCACCUCUGUGUCCUAGCUUAAUUCGAAGAGAUCUUGAUGGUUUGUCUCUUCCACAGAAGUAUCACACUGGUGUACGACAUAAUUGAUGACAUUAUUCUGGUUGAACCAAGUGAACAGGAGGUAGCAACCAUGUUAGACAUGUGCAUCCGUGCCUUCGAGGGUGGGAAAGAAACCCAACCAAAAUCCAGGGGCUUCCGCCUCUGUCAAGUUUCUAGAAGGCCAGUGCUGUGAGGUAUGCAGAGAUGUGAAAGAGAAGUCGUUGCACUUGACCCCUCGCACCACUAAGAAAGAAGCAGUGUUUAGGGGGCCUCUUUGGAGUCUGGAGGCAGCACAUACCAAGUGCCUCAGAAAGCUCCUAGCCUUGUGUGGGGACUGGAGCAGGAGAAGGCUCUUCAGCAGUCCCAGGCUGAUGUGAAGACUGCUCUACCACGUGGAUCAUAUGAUCCAAGAGACCUACCAGCACCUGACAUGUCAGAGGCAGCUAGGGAUCAGAGUCACUGGCAGCCCAUACAGGUGAAUCAUAGCAGAGACCCUUGGGAUUUUGGAGCAAGGCUUUAGCACCAUCUGCUAAAGGGGACCAUUUGGGGGUCAGCUCUUAGCCAGCUAUUGAGCCUCGUGGAAACAGUAUUUGACAAUGAGACCUUAGCUGCCCACCUGUGCUAGGUGUUAUCUGACCCACCAAGCCAUAAAGUAGGGUGUACACAGCAACAACCCAUUAUCAAAUUAUAUAUACGAUACAUACAUACUAUACAUGAUAGGGCCAAGGUGGGUCCUGGGGGCACCAGCAAGCUACAGGAAGAAGUUUCCUAAAUACCUCUUCUACUCCUGGUACAAUGCCUCUACUCCCAAGCAUGCAUCUAUGGCCUCAUGGGACAUGCCCUAUGGUGAUUAACUAAGGAAAAGAAGACUAGGGCCUGGCUGGUUCUGUACCGUAUGCAGGCACCAAGCAGAAGUGGACAGCUACAGCGUUAUAACCCCUUUCUAGAACAACCCUGAAAGUUACUGGUGGGAAAUCUUCACAGUGGGCAGAAGGAGAAGUGGCCAGAUGUGCGAUUGUUCACCAAUUCAUGGGACUGUGGCCAGUGUGUUAGAUGGUCAAGGACUUGGAACGAACAUGAUUGUGAAAUUGGUGAGAAAAGAAAGACAUUUGGGGAAGAAGUAUCUGAAUAGUUUCCACCGCCUGCCCCUGAAAUAGGCAAAGGAAAUGAAGUCUCUCAUGUAAAUGUUCAUCAAAAAGUGGCUUCAGCAGAGAAGCUCGUAGUCCAGUAAAUAACAGAAAUAGCCUGUUCUGUGGACAGUCAGCCUCUUCCUCAUUGCCCAGUGUGCCGUGAACAAGGUGGCUGUGAUUGCAGAAGUAUAGGCUAUACAUGUGCUCAACAACAUGGACUUCUGCUCCAGUGCUGACGUGGCUGUAGCGGCUGUUGAGUGCCUGAUAGGCCAGCAGCAGAGACCAACACAGAGCCCCUAUGUCACCAUCCCCCUGCAGGAUUAUCACAUUGAACAACUUCUUUUGUGGAGAGGGCAAUGUUUAGUCCUCCCUGGAAUCGAUCCUUAUUCUGGCUGUGGAUUUGCCUUUCCUGCAUGUGAUGCCUCUGCCAAGACCACCAUCCGUAGACUUCGAGAAUGCUUAAUCUGCUAUCCUAGCAUUUCACAUGAUGGCCGUCACUUCACAGCCAGAGAAGUGUGACUGGAGGCCCGUGCUCAUGGAAUCCCCUGGUCUUGCCAUGUUCCCUUCCACCCUAAAAAAGUUGCCUUGGUAGAAUUGCACAAUGGCCUUUAAAGAAUCAUUCACAGGGGCCAUUAGGCGGCAGCAACCUGGCACACUGGAGCAUGGUUCUCCAAAGACGGUAUAUGUUUUGAAUCAGUACGUGAUACAUGGUAGUUUUCCUCAUAGCCAGGAUUCACAGACUCAGGAACCAAGGCGUGGGAAUGGCGGCGAGUCCACUCACGAUCAUUCUGGACCACUAGGGAAAAUUUUGUUUCCUGUUCCAGUGACCUUAACUUCUGCUGGCCCAGAGGUUGUGGUUCCAGACAGGAAGUAAAGAGUAAGAAGUAGAGGAAGAUAUUUAUAAAUACCAGCUAAGGCCAGCAGAAACGAGCUAUAACUAACAUGAGAAUAGUUGUCGUAUUUUUUGUUAAAAACACAUUUGUGCAUAUAUGCACAUAUAUUAAGCCAAUAUUUGUGUUUGUUUUCCUCUAUUUCUUUAUCAUAUAAUGUAACAUCAAUCAAGAAAAUAUCAAUUCAAUGUUGUAAAUCAAUAUUAUCAUAUUUAAGAGGGUUUUGUUGUUGUCAUGAGUCAGGGCCUCACUGUGUAGUCCUGGCUGUCCUGGAACUCUCACUGUAGACCAGGUUGGACUGAAACUCACACUGUCUCACUGUCUGUUUCCUGACUGUUGGAAUUGAAGGUGUGUCACUAUGUUUGGCUGCCAUAUUUAAGUUUUGAGAGACUAAAAGACUGCAUUCCUCAAGGGAUGUUGCUACCUAUUCUAUAACACACAAUGCUUUUUGCAGUUAUUCAUGUAAUAGUCAUAUCAUGUUAGGCAAAAUUAUGACCCAGUUAUUGUUCUCACUUGGAAAUUUAUCAUGGUAUAAGAUAUGAUUGUGUGUCAACUUUGGCAAGUGGUAGACUUCUGGUGACUAAUCUUGGUUGUCAACUUGCCUAUACAUGGAAUCAACGAAAACCCAAGCUCCUGGACACAGCUGUGAAAGAUUUUCUUGAUCGGAUUCUCUGAAGCCAGAGACCAGCCCUAAGUCUAUGCAGCGCCUUUUUGGAGGCAGCCUAGCUCAAAGGACAGAGGAGAAAGUAAGCUUGCUUUGGGGGUAUUUACCCUCACUUUUGCAGGCAAGUCUCCCUAUCCUUUUCUGGUAACCCUUCACUGAUACAGAGCCUGUUUCUGGAUUCCAACAUAGACUGAAGACCAGCAGCUCUCCAGGACUCCAGCACCAGAUCGAGACUGCUGAGACCUCCAACCUUGCAGACUGAAUAAAUCCCAGGUUCUGAGCCUCUCCCGAUCACCUUCUGCAAGCCAUUCUGAUGAAUCCCCCUUAAUAUGUGUAUAUAUUCAUCCUGUCAGUUCUGAUUCUUUAGAGAACCCUGCCUGACACAGUGGCUGCCUUUAUAAUUCAAAUAAGCAACACUUGGUCCUUCCAAACCUGCCUCCCGGUUUCCUCAUCUUUGACAUCCUUUUCCCCAACCACACAGGCCUGAAAAUAUGACUUUGACUUCCUCUUGACUGGCCACAGACAUCCUAUAAUGCUAUAUUUUUAAUAUUCAUCUCCCUUUCAAGUCUUGUUGUUGGCUUCUGUUGUGCUUCUCGUGUUGUCAUGAUCUGUUGUCUCUGUUCACAGCAUCUUCCCUCCGAAACCUUUACUUUCGCCAUUCUUGAGAGCAUCUUGAGGUCUGUCUCUAAGUCGUCAUCUUAGGAUCCUAGUCCUUACCUAACUGCAGGACCCAUUCCUUGAUUCGUGGGUAUUCAGUAAGCCGUUCAUGUGAGGCCACCUUCCACUUGGUUUUUCCCAUUUAUUUAUUUAUUUACUUACUUACUUACUUAUUCACUCUACGUCUCAAUUGCGGCCUCCCCCCUCCAUCUCCCCUCCCCUUUACCUCUGAGAAGGGAGCGCCCCCCCACCCCAUAUCAACCCAUCCCUGGCACCUCAAGUCACUGCAGGACUAGGCACAUCCUCUCCCACUGAGGUCAGACAAGGGAGCCACAGGCAGGCAGCAGAGUCAGGGACAGCCUCCGCUCCAGUUGCUGGGGAACCUGCAUGAAAACUGAGCUACGCAUCUGCUGCAGAUGCGUGGGGAGCCUAGGCCCACCAUGCUCUUUGGUUGAUGGUUCCGUCUCCGGGAGCCCCCAAGGGUCCAGGUCAGUUGACUAUGUUGGUCUUGAGAUUUUUAUGAUAAUGAUUUAUUGUGUAAGCUAGUGACUUAAAUGAUUGGUGACUUAAAUGAUUGGCUGAAACCAGAGCUGAAAACAAGACAAUAAAGACGAGAAAAAAACACACAAACUCCAUUCCACAUCUCAGGCCUGGGCACAGGAAACUCCAGAGGCAGAGCUUCAAAAGCCACGCCUCAGAGUGUGGUCACCUGUACUCUAUUUUAAUAACAAGUUCUUGCUUUUUAUUGUAAUACUGAAUAGAGACGUAAAUUCACAGCCCAGCAUUUGAGUAGAUUUGAAGCAGAUGUUACAGACAGGUUCUUAAUUACUUUUUGAAAAAUGUAUUCAUAAUAGGCACAUUAUCUGUUUUAAACAACGUUCCAACUUCUGUAUCUCAAGUUUAACUUGAAGGAAAGCACGGCUGUUGAGAUAAAAAGAGAUGCAAAGUUUAAUCAGUUUGAUGAAAGUGUAAGACCUCAGGAAGGAAAUAGGAAGACAUGUUUAUAUGUCACACUGUGACUUUCCUCUCAAGCUGAAACAGUCUUUAAAUGGUUUUGUCGUCAAAGGUAAGUGUUUCUCUCGUAUUCUUAAGAUACUUGGUUGUCAGCUUAUCUUACAGUUGAAAUACGCAGUGUAGAUGCGUGCUUCUGCUGUCGCUAUGAUUGCUGGGUUCCUUCACUGUACAUCUGUUUAUUGGCCUGAUUGCUCGACAAGUGUUUGGGCCACAGUGAUGAAUCCAGACAAAAAGUUCUACUGGGAGUUCCCUUCGUGUGGUUCUAGACAAUAAACAAAGAGUGGUGAGUGCCUUGGAAAAAAUAGGAAGGUUGGGGGAUGGAAGUUAUAAGGGGUUGAGAUUACAUACAUACAUUAAUUAAUGAAGCCCAUUCUGACCAUUUAACAACUAGGUGUAUAGAGGAAAGUCCUUGUGAUUGAACCCAGUGCCUUCUAUGUGCCCAGCCAGUACCCUGCUCCUGAGCCUUUCUACCAGCCUGGCGAGUGCGUCUUUCCAGACCUGGGUGUUUGGUUGAAACAGUCUUAUGUUAUGGAGUAAAAGCCAAUGGAUCCAAAACAAAAGUAUUAUCCAUGGAAAUGCUUGCCAGCUGUGUGUGGUGGUGCAUACCUUUAAUCCCAGCAAUCAGAGGGACAUGGAGCUCAGGAGUCCAGCCUGGUCUACAUAUUGAGUUCCUAGCCAGCGAGGGCUGCAUAGUGAGACCCUGUCUCAAAAAUGAACCAACAAACAAAUGCUGAUUUUCAUGGCCUAGUAACAUUAGUGCUCAGCCUAUCGUAAAGGGACUAUGAGAGAUUUAAUAGCUUUCACAAAGAGAGGAGAUAAACUAAGACGAUAAAAAUACAGAGGAAGAGGACUUAAACAUCCAUUUUGAUAUCUGAAAAAUGAAUCAAAAUGAAAAGUCAUUCACAGUCACUCAUAAUCAAAUGUAAUAUAAACUCUACAUACCCAACCAAAACAAAACAAAACAAAACUGAAAGUAAAAAGACUGAUGGGCGGGAGAUGUGGCUCAGGGCUUGUGUGUGUGCACUGCUCUUUAGAGAACCCGAGUUCAGUUCCCAGUAUCCGUGUCAGACAUCUUACAAUCACCUGGAACUCCAGCGACAGAGAAUUUGACACCCUCCCCUGUUCUCUGCAGGCACUGCAUACACAUACAUAGUCACACAAUUAAAAACAAAAUAAAUCUAAAAAAAAAAAAAA